UGCCUUGUUUGUUGUUAAAAGAUCUAAUUCCAUCUUUAGAUGUUAUAUCUCUAAUAUGAAUAUUGGGGGUGUUCAUCAUAGUUGCAGUGGAGUAUUGGGAUUAUAAAUCACACAUUGAGAAAAUAUCAUUUUAACAUGUAAAGCAAUCAAAUUACUUAUAUAAAUUCGAAUUAGAAUGAAUUAAAUUAUAAUUUAACUAAUACUUUCUCCAUAUUUAACAUGACCUGCUAAGCAUAGAUGAUUUUAUGUAUCUGCCUUUUUUAGAGUAAAGCUUCUAUCUAACUAUUUAUGCCGUAGACUUCUUUGAAGAUUUGGAAUUUAACUUACCAAAAGAAUCCAUGCAAUUUGCAAGUCUUAUUUUGAAUGUUAAUGAUGUAAUAAUUUUGUUGGAUAGAGGCUUUUUAAAUAGUUUUUUUAUUAGAACUCGUGCUUAGGAAUUACCAGUUUGGAUUCUUAUUAGAUGUGUUAAGGCCACCAAUGCGUUGGCCUAUGUCAGUAUUUGCCUGUGGAAACUUGAAGAUUGAAUUGUGUUGUUUAAAGUCAAAUUCAACCAUCUCAUCCCUUUUUCUUUCAUUUUCUUUUUUCUAGAAAGGCAUAUUGUAGUUAAAGCAAUUCGUUAUAGCAUAAAUUAUGCAUUUGGUUGCUAUUAGGAAGUCAAGAAUAGAAAUGUUGAAGAUGAUGAAAUAAAACAGGUACUUCUGACAGGUUGCCUGCCCUGGAUGUUUUCCUGGUGCAGCUAAUCUAAGUUGUGCCGAACUUCCGGGGUUGCUCUGAAUGACUUCGCAACCAUCUUGUGCCUGAUCCAUUCUCUAUUCAUGAAUAUAUCUUGUUGCGCUGUUUAUCUUGUGUUCA
rnacentral:misc_RNA from 1 species